AUUGAACGCUGGCGGCAGGCUUAACACAUGCAAGUCGAGCGGGGUGAUGGUGCUUGCACUAUCACUUAGCGGCGGACGGGUGAGUAAUGCUUAGGAAUCUGCCUAUUAGCGGGGGACAACAUCUCGAAAGGGAUGCUAAUACCGAAUACGUCCUACGGGAGAAAGCAGGGGAUCACUUGUGACCUUGCGCUAAUAGAUGAGCCUAAGUCGGAUUAGCUAGUUGGAGGGGUAAAGGCCUACCAAGGCGACGAUCUGUAGCGGGUCUGAGAGGAUGAUCCGCCACACUGGGACUGAGACACGGCCCAGACUCCUACGGGAGGCAGCAGUGGGGAAUAUUGGACAAUGGGGGGAACCCUGAUCCAGCCAUGCCGCGUGUGUGAAGAAGGCCUUAUGGUUGUAAAGCACUUUAAGCGAGGAGGAGGCUCUUUUGGUUAAUACCCAAGAUGAGUGGACGUUACUCGCAGAAUAAGCACCGGCUAACUCUGUGCCAGCAGCCGCAGUAA
rnacentral:rRNA from 1 species